rnacentral:rRNA from 1 species
GGCGGACGGGUGAGUAACACGUGAGAAUUUACCUUUAGGAGGGGGAUAACAAUUGGAAACGAUUGCUAAUACCCCAUAUGCUUUUGAGUGAAAUGGAUUUAUAUUUAUCCGCCUAGAGAGAAGCUCGCGGCUGAUUAGCUUGUUGGUAAGGUAAGAGCUUACCAAGGCGACGAUCAGUAUCUGGUUUGAGAGGACGAUCAGACACACUGGAACUGAGACACGGUCCAG